AUAGGUUGUUUAAUGUGCUUUCAUUUAUCCAUUUUUAGAAUUAGUCUUGAUGAGCUUCUCUGAAUCUCCCCUCAUUAGGCAGACCCUCAUUUAUUUAGUAGAAAGACUCCAAUUCCCUCUGGAAGGAAAAAAAGGAAAGGAAAGAGGAAGGGAAAAGGGAAUGGGGAGGGGAAAGGGAAGGGAAAGAAGAAGAGAGAACAGAAAAAUGCCAGUGAUAUCUGUCCCCAGCCAGACAAAAUAGUGCUGCUGCAUUUGCAUCACCCUGCACUCCAGCACAGGGGACCGCUGUGCCCGGAGAACUCUCUCUCUGAAGUCAUUUUCUGGCAAAAUUCUUUCUCACCAGCUCCCACCAGCACUUCCAGUAACUCUCUUUGCAGUGCUCUUCUUUAAUUCCUGUGCUCCCUCCCUUCCUCUUUUUCCAGCAGCGUUACCCAUUUCAGGGAUGCAGCCCCAAACCUCCUCUCAGCUCCACUAUAUCUUGGGGCCGUGUCUCCUCCAACCUGACAGCAAACUGCUUUUGCUCCAGAAGCCACCAAGGAACCAACACUGCUGAGCCACAACACCACGGGCGAUGGAUCCGGCAUCACGCUGCUGCGGAGAUGCAGCAAUGAAUCCUAACACCAAAACUCCCUGAAAUGAGGAGGUGAGAAAGGCAAUACUGAACUUCAUGAUUUUCGCCCACAGGAACCGUUGUUAACACUGAAGUCUUCCCAGCAAAGUGCUUGCGACUGAACGGAAUUGUGUUUUUUUUGCCCCAAAAUCACAGCUUGGGAAUGUUCUGGCGAAUAGAGAAAUGCGAUGGAACCCAGGGAUAGUGCAGGGGAUGUGCAGAGCACGGUGGGAUGAAAUGAAGGCUGGGAGGUAUUUACUGCACACUGUUGCUCUAAUCCUGUCUAUACUCAGGUGCUGGAGAGUGGGAUGUUUCUAAAGGCACUUUAAAACAAAGGAGGCAAGCUCGAAGUUCUGAAUUCCACGCAUCCCCUUCCAACAAGUACAAUAAGGGGAGGAGUGCCUGCCCUACCACAGAGCUGCCCCCAGGAGCACUGCACGAGCACCACAGCAGCAGAGAUGCACGAGUGACAGGCAGAGCUCAUUAUAUCCCAGAGCUGUGUUAGAUAUUAAUCACUUUGCAUCCAAAAGAGGCGUCCGAGGAACUUAAUUUGUAGUGGAAAUGUCAGAUAAGAGAGAUGCCGCAACUCCAACUGAGAAUAAACAGUGAAUACUGCGGAAUGUUACUCUAAAAUGACCUUUUACUUUAUAUUAAAGCAAACAGGUAGAAAUCAAAGUCAAAUCCCCAGCAGAGAUGAUGCCGUGUGCAUGUGUGUGUGCACGUGUUGGCGUGCAUUCCUUCCAAUGGGGUGCAGGGACUCAGAGCCAACCCAGCACAGCGCUCAGCUGAUGCGGUCCAGACAUCAGCCCCAGAAGGGUGAGGACAGCCUGGGAAAUCUGGGCUGCCUACUGCAUGCAUGGUUAUUUACAUAAAUAUGUGGAUAUGGUGACACGCAGAAUUUCAACUGCUCUGCAGUCCACGCAAGCCAACGCUGACUGUUCUGAGCAGUAUUCGCGCUCCUGGCAAGAAUUAGUGGGGAUUUCAGCUGAAAUAGUAAUAUUUCCUCCUAGAGCUGGCUGCUCAUGAAAAACCCACCCCUGUUGAAAACAUGAGUUUUUCUUCAAAAUGUAGUUUUGACUGGCCCCGUGUCCUAUUGAGGGCGAAGUCCAAUUUUGGGAUGAAUGGCAGCACAAUUGCUCUACCUAAUUAUCUCCAAUUUAAGCCUGAACUGCUCGAGAAGGGGUAGAUUUCACCAGCAGGAUUUUUCUUUGCUCAAACGCCUGCACGAAUGCUAUUACAUCCACUCCCAAAUUUUAUUUCUUCGUUCUUGUAUUACUGCCCUUUUUUAAGAAUCAAAAGCUUUUCAAUUCCUUAAACGGUUUCACAGACUGAAAUUGAGCUGGAUACCUGGAAGGACAGAGCCAACAGAGAAUUAGCCGGCCUGAAAAACGCUCCUGGCACAACUCGCUGCUGCAACUUUGAAUGAAAACAGUGACAAGUGCUCCUCAGAAUAGCCUCUCUUAGUUGCUAUUUGUGCUUCUGUAAGGAAAUGGCUUCUCAAACCAUGCAGACUUUGGACUCCGUUCACCAUUCUAUGUAGAAGUCAAUGAAAGCACUUAGCAAACUCCUCUGGAGGAGUCCCUGUCUGCUUUUAUUCCUUUCUAUCUUAUUUUACUUUUUUCUAACUUCAUUUUUGCCGAUGCCUCCCUGCCUCGGGUUUGACUGACGUUUUUAAUCCUUUGAGAUAUUGCAUAUGCUCUGAUUGUUAUCAAACCUUGUUCCCCUGUGUGACUCAAAAGAGAAUCUGACUAUUCUGUGUCCUAUCAGCUUCCCUUGAUGGAUUUUGCCCUUCCUCACCCUUGGAAGGGUCUCUUUUUAAAACCAGCCCCCAGGGGCAUUUUAACAACCACUGCCAUGAUGCAGAGGUUCUCUACCUAUUACCUGCACACCCACCUGUAGGCUCAUCCACCCUGCUGUUCACUUACAUGUCCUGGUACCUACAAACCCAUAUGUGAUGGGGGCUGUGAGACCCCUAACCUUGAGGGGUUGAUUUUGCCCUGGUUGGGAAGUAGAAGCAAGAAACUAUGGAUGUGGAUACAUUCAGGUUCAAAGAGCCACUGGGUGAAUUCAUGGCAUAAAAAAUAUGGUCGAGGUUUAUGAAAUACAACAACCACACUACUGUCUCAGGGCAUUCCCACGGUCUGAGUUACAGAUGCCAGCACAGCAUCCUGGGGAAGCAGCACAUCACACGCGCUCUGUUUUCAUAGCACACCUUUACCCUGACCUGACACAGGAGAUUUCCACCUCUCCCCGUGGCCUCCCAGCCCAGCACUCAGCACUGCUGCCAUCAGCACGGGGAGCAUGUCACUGCUGAAGACAUCUGCUCCAUUUUGUGCAUGGAAAAACACAGCAUUUUCCAACUGCUUGGGAGCCUCUUGGUAACGCUUCCCAAAUGCUAGCAAUGUGGCCUGCUACCGUGCUGCUGUGAUGGGCAGCGUAACAACUGAACUUACUGUAGCUCUGCAUUAAGGUUGGGGUGUUGAGAACGCUAUUUUGCAAUCCUAUUACUCGUAAUGCUAUGAUAUUUUGUAGUACUGCCAUAUAUUGACUGCGCUCUUGUUGAAAUUACAAUGCAAUGAAAAGUUUGCUCAGAAUAACAGAAGCCUAAACAAUACUGAAUUGCAGCUUCCUUGGAGGACUGGAAUUACCAAAUUCCUUCUACACAAUCCUUUAGUGCUGGUAAAGCGCAGGGACGAAUAACAGGAUGUAUAACAAAAUACACGGCAGUUUCUAUGCUCUGAGUACUGGAAGAGCCUGAAACUACGACAUUUGUAGGCACAGGAAACAAAGUCACAAGCCACUUGGUGUGGCUCUGUUCACUGCAGAGUUGAUGUGACCCUCAGCCUAAGCCGGACCCAGGGGAGCACUGAGCCACGCAGCUCCUCCCAGCACUGGAGCCCCAAACUCAGAGCAUAUCAGUGGGACAUCUGUCCUCAUCAAAGCUCCCUUCCAGUGUCUCCCUGCAGCCUGACACGAGGGCAGGAGAAUAAGAACCCCCUGGGUUUGCCACCCCCUUUCCACCUGGCCACACCAGGUACACACCGCUGCAGAAUACCACACCGCUGGACAUUGCUUUCCUCUUAACAAAAGGGGCAAGUAGAGCUUUUCAUUCACGUACUGUCAUCAGCAAAUGAGGUCCUGGGGAUUGGGAAGAUGGGAGAUAACAGCGUUAGAUAACGUGCUGUAUCUCAGCCGGCAGCGCGUCUGCAUACCUGGGUGAGCAGAGCAAGACGCUGGGAGGCAAGCUGCACUGAGAGCAGGGUGCAGGUGUGGGGUGCAGGGUGCAGGUGUGGGGUGCAGGGUGCAGGUGUGUGGUGCAGGUGAGGUGUAGGGUGCAGGUAAAAGGCAGCGUUUGCUGAAAAAAUGUCUUAUGUCGCAAACAAAAAUGGAGAGUUUAAAGAAAAGGGAAAAGUAAGCUACCAGCGCAGCAGAACGUGACAUUUUGGGUCAAACAUCAUCUUCAUCUUGAUCAAAAGUAAAUUUUUGUGUAUUUUGCAAAUAACCUUAGAAAAUAUAUUUAAUGUCCUCCGAACUGCAUUUAUUUUUCUGCAUACUUCACUUGGCUGCUGAACCAAAGAACUCACCAUUCCUUCAGGAGUGGCAGAUGACAGUUUAGGGAGGGUUUGGGGCAAAAGCCAAUGUUGGGAUUUGGAAAACAGCCCCUGAUGGAUCAAAACUCAUCAGCUCUGAAAGCUGAGCUCCUCAUACAAGCACUUCUCCUCUGUGGGUACCUGCAGGGCAGGGCUGCUCCCCAAACACUGCUGAGCUGUGGGCCUGCCCAGCAGCACCUGCGCCUACCAGAGACAGCCCAUCAUUUACAGUGCUAGCAGUGGUGAGACAGGAAAGGAGAUGGGAGAAAAAUUAAUUUAUCUGUAGAAGUUUUGCUGUGAGAGAUGAAACCUUAACGGAACAGUGAGGCUAACAAGCAAGGUCAGCAAAAACUAGGGCUGAUACUGGCGGGAGCUGGAACAGCAGCAGAACUGACUCGGCUUGGGCUUGGGAAUAAAGGAGUAAAACAAGAACACUUUUUGGUUUUAGUUUAUAAUAUUCAAGAGCAGCUAUUACAGGUCAUGCCAGAAGCAUAGGAAACCCAUGUCUCUUUCUUCAAAGUGGAUAAUGAGGACACCAAGAGAUGAGCAUGGUAAUGGUGAGCACUUUGCUUCGCUAUCGUUCCAAGCAUUUUCAGCUUGCAGUUGCCUCUCGGUGCCUUUGUACUCAGUAGCCCUUCAUGAUUCAUUCCCCAUUUCUCUGCCCACUUGCUUUUGAAACCCGCCAUAUUCUGUGGCAAAAUUUCAGGGGGCAAAAGUAGCUAAUUCCGGGUCUUGUUACAAAUGGAUGUUUGCUGGCUAUGGAUCCGUGCCUCCUCCAACCCUCAGCCACUCUCCAAACCUCCCAAAGGUUCAAGCUGACUGUGGGUGUUCGCCUGGCCCAAAACAAAACCUCUUCAUUUCAGUGUGAACUGUGUCGUUAUGGCUACUCUUCAACCACCUAAGUCCAUUUCAAACUGAAAAUGGUGUUUUGAAACAGUCGAGAUGUUCCAGUUUGAAAAUGGCAGGCUGAAGAGCUUUGCCCCUCCGUUCCCUUUUAGUUUUUUAAUUGCUGGCCAAAAUCAUUUUCAAAAGUGGACCCAGAAGGUUUCACCUUCCCUGAAUCUGUGCAAUUCCACGGGUUUGUUCCGAGCAGAUCCUCUCCCUGCUCAGGGGCCAUGUGUUCAGAGAACACCUCCCAGUCUCCCACUCGUUGCAGCCCUCCUGCCAAGUGCUUGCUUUCAAGUAGUUACUUUGCUCACGAAAUCUCGUCAAGCCUUGUUCUUCCCCCUCUCCAUCACUCCCACCACACAGCCCAUUGCUAGGCAUUUGCUCAGCUGUGACCGCUUCUCUCACAAGAAACGCAGGGCUUAUUCUUUAUUUUGCUAACUGCCGUGCUUGCUGUUUUCUCUCAGCCUCUCAAAUUCGGUUUGCUUCACUAACCUGCUGUGGCUACUGGCUCUCCACCAGCCCUGCUGCCAGGACCCUCCGCACGGAGAGAGCUCUCCCUUGCAUUUCUGAGUCAGCGCUGGAUGUUGAGAGCACAGCGAGCCCUGCUGCUCCCUGGGGCUGCGUCCCACCUGCAUGCACUGCCAGCACUGGGGCUGGAGACCACUUCAAGACCCAUUUGUGGCCGGUGCAAUGUUCCAGCAUGCGAGGAAGAGGGUCGCACCCUUGCUGCUGCCUCCUCUUUCUUUUCUGUUUGCACAAACAAUAAGCUUUUACACAGCUCUCAACAUUCCUUCCUUCCUUCCCCCAGCACCUUUUGAAAGCCUCCAGCAGUUCCAUCAUGCUUCUGCACUUGGACAAAAGCAGCGGCUCGCAGCGCUGCCAGGCAGUUUAUCUUUUUGGCAGACUGGCCCCCGGAGAUAAGAGACAAUAGCGGGAGGACUUGGCUAUUUGAUAAAUAAAAUGCUAGAGGCAGUGGUGGGAAGGGAUACUGGGAGGUGUCCUGUCCAGCCUAUGGGACUGCUGCCAACUCGAGAAGGUCUCAGAAACCUCUGUGGGCUCCCAAGCCCCACUUCCUCUGUUUUAAGCCUGGCUCUUCCACAACACUGCAGCGGAUGGAGGCUGCGGCAGACACAGCCUGCACAAUGGCCAUGAGGACUGGGAUUUCUUCCUGGCUUAUGGCUCAGUGAAAGCCCAGUGAAUGGCAAAGUCAAAUCUUUAGUACAAAGGAGAUUCUGCCUCCAAAUUGCGGGUUCCUUUUCCAAAUUGCAACAGCUACUCCAUGAAUCAUGGUGGAUAUUUCUAUAAAGCAGCAAACCAAUUUAUUUUCCUCUUACUCCUUCUCAGAGGUAGCCAAUUGUACUUCGUACUUUCACUCCCAUUUGUUUCCUGUUGUAAACGAGUAUCAAGGAAACAGUGAGCCCAAAUGUUUUCAGAUGUUCCAGUGCUCUAACAAGUUAUGCAAAGCAGGAUCCCGUAAUGAGAAGCGUGCAGCAACCAAAGGGAAGGCAGCUUGUAUGCUCACACAGCAGCUCGGGGCGAGAAAUGGAGCUGCUAAUGACUGGAAGUGAGCAAACGAUGCCUGUUGUUUUAGGAAAGAUUUCCACGAUGAACAAACACUGUCCCUGUGGGCAAAAUCCAGAAGGAAAACGUGGCUGCUGGCGAGGAGGAAAGUUGCUAAUAAUUCUUAGUGCUUGCAGGUGUCAGAUCAGCUACUCUGCUUUGCGACUACAGGGAACAAAAGAGGAUGGCAGAUCCUGCACUGCCCAGCUAAGUGCUUUUGAUCAGUGGUCAACGUGGUGAUGAAUGCUUUUCCAUCGCACCCUUCGUCCCGUGCAUUUUCAAGGCUGCUUAGAGGUGGGAAGGCAAGAAGAAAGAAUGCUGCGACCCGACAGAAUUCAAUUUCCUGAAAAAAAUAAAUCAUAUUUUUCUUUUCCCUGUGACCUAAAUGGAAAACAUAUUGUUCUGAAAGUGCUGUUCAAACUGAAUUACCGAAACCUUUUAUCAACAAAGAGACCGUCAUAUAUCAGACAUCUGGUGUGGAUGUCAAUUAUAAUAAUUAAUUAGACAUCUCCCCAGAUGCCUGACACUACAUUCUGUCAGCAGAUUUUUUUGACUUCAAUCAAAGCUGCUGCUGCAUUAUGCAUGAAACUCAUGGAGUAGUUGGGAGUCGAGGAGAUCUGCUACAAAUCACAGCCAAGCACACGAAAGGCCUCCUGGUUCUGAUGGCUUUUACCACUUCUGAAGGCUGCCAAGCGAAGGGCACGUGCAUUGAUUUCUUUUCUUUCCUUAACAACGUUUUCAAAUGUUCUACAUUUUCUCACGCAGACAUUCAAAGGAAAAAGAGGAGUGGUGAGGAAUAUCAUUGACAAACCAAAGGCAAGGGCUGCCACUGCGUCCUCGUGGUGGGAAAGAAGGAAUUCCCAUCAGCAGUCACCAAUCUGAAGUGCAACCACAAUGGAGCAUCUUCAUCCAUUGCUCCUGUGAUCGUACCAGUAAUGCUCUGGUGCAGCACCACUGAAGGAGAUGGAAAAAGAUGGCCCUGCAUCAUUUUCUUCUCUAUUUUCUUUAAAUUCUUCCUUUUUUUUUCAUAAUUAAAUUGAAAAUAAAUUAAUUCCUGGGCUAUUUAA